rnacentral:rRNA from 1 species
AAUGGGCGCAAGCCUGAUCCAGCAAUACCGCGUGUGUGAGGAAGGCCCUAGGGUUGUAAAGCACUUUCAGCAGUGAAGAAAAGCUUAGGGCUAAUACCCUUGAGUAUUGACGUUAACUGCACAAGAAGCACCGGCUGACUCCGUGCCAGCAGCCGCGGUAAUACGGGGGGUGCAAGCGUUAAUCGGAUUUACUGGGCGUAAAGCGCGCGUAGGUGGUUUGGUUAGUUGGAUGUGAAAGCCCUGGGCUCAACCUGGGAAUUGCAUCCAAUACUGCCAGACUAGAGUGUGGUAGAGGGAAGUGGAAUUCCGGGUGUAGCGGUGAAAUGCGUAGAGAUCCGGAGGAACACCAGUGGCGAAGGCGGCUUCCUGGACCAACACUGACGCUGAGGUGCGAAAGCGUGGGGAGCAAACAGGAUU